ACUUUGUGGCAUAUUUUUAUUUUCUUGAGACUCUCAUAUGUUUUCUCGCCAUGGAAUGUAAAAACAUCUGAAAGGGUCUGCUCCCUGCCUUUACCUAGUCUCUGACAGCUCCUUGGAAAGGUCAUGUUGCUGCUGCUCCAUGGCUGCCAGUCGGCCCUCAAGGGCAGCCUUCUCCUGGCCCAGCAGCUCCUUCUCUCUGCACACCUGGGCCAGUGCGUGCCCUUGGCCAGAGGAUUCCCGGCGCAGCUGCUCCAGAGCCCGGCUCGACGACUCUUGCUCCUGGGAAACCUGGAAGCAGAACAAGGUAGAGCUCGAGCCCGUCCUCGGGAGCCCUGUGCAGAACCAGCCAGUGCCCCCUCGCAGGCAGCCAGAGGACAAGGAGCACCUGUGCUCUGGGCUCAACGUUUCACAGCAUCUGCCCCAUGCAGCUCUGACAGCCUGGGCUCCAAGAGCCUCCGGCACGGUUACCUUGGAAGUGCUGUGUCAGGCCCUGCUGCCUUGCCUGGGACCAGACAGCACCUUCCCAACAAACAUCCCUACUCCAGACUCCGUGUUGUCACCCAAAAAUACUGCAUCUUCCACAACUGCCUACACAAUGUACUCUAAGCACCAGCAGUGCAGCUGCUGUUCAGCCCUUGCUACAAAACUCUGCACAGUUUAGUUCAUCACCCUGCUCACCUACUCCUUUCUUUCCCAAAACAAAUCCAAGUCCCCAAGUCCCCCGCCUGUUGCCUACCCUUGUGUGGCCACAGGUGAAGCAGCUGCCCAUGCCCAGCUUCUUUGGCCUGGAGCUGAUUUGAACAGCAAGUUCCUGCACAGCCAGCCCAGGGUCAGGGAGCAAACUCUCCCUCUCCCAAACUUCAGAGCAUUCCACAUGAGAGCAGAGAACAAUGUGGGCAACCAAGCCCAGGGGCAGAAUAAGCCUUCAAGCACUGCUGAGGCCUUGAAACUCCUCCAACUCCUCUUUCUGGACACCGGGGACUUGUAUUCCAGAGGAGCCUGAGGCUUUGCAGAGGCAGCAAAAGACCAUUUUACCUGCUCGCCAGUUCUCCUGGGCCCAGUGCUCCAUUCAGGCCACUCUGUCUUCUCCUUUUCUGAUGAUGCAACCGGUUGCUCAGAUUCCAGGCUGGCGUCUGACAUACAGAACAGCUGCUUCACUUGUGCUUUAAAAGCCGGCUAGGGACACAGAGAGGAGAUGAUUCCCUUAUCUCAAACACCACACAAGCUGUGCCUCAGAAAUCUCCAUCACAGGAAGCAUCCUCGAAGUACCAGCAGUGCAGCUGCUGUUCAGACUUCUCGGUACAAAACUCAGCUCAGUUUAGUUCAUUGCUCUGCUCACCUGCUCCAUUCCUUCUCACACCUAAUCUAAAUCCCCACAUGUUGCCUCCCCUUGCCAGGGCACAGGAGAAGCAGCUCCCCAAGCCCAGCUUUUGG
rnacentral:lncRNA from 12 species